GAAAGAGAGAGCAAAGGGAAGAGGCUGAGACAGAGGGAGAAGCAGGCUCCCCGCUGAGCAGGGAACCCGAUGCAGGACCUGAUCCGAAGACCCGAUCUCAGGACCCGAUCCGAGGACCCUGGGAUCAUGACCUGAGCUGAAAGCUGACGCUUAACUGACUGAGCCACCCAGGCGCCCCAAGAGUGCUUAUUUUUUAAGAUGAUCUCUCACUUAGUUUUAUUCUUGAACUAUUUAUUACUUUUAUCUUUUUAAGGAGUUGACAAUCUUUUUCAGUCCUAGGUAUUACAUGGCCUGCUAGGCCAAAAUGAGCGUAUCUGGGACCUAAUGCUCAUGCUCCACAGAGGCUGUAUGCCAUGCUUCAGAACAGUCCAACAUAAGAGCUUCAGAAAGGAGACGAGAACAACAGCAACAACAAAAAGAUUUCUGGACAAUCCAGUCCGUACAAACUACCUAGGACAAUUCCUGGCACCAAAAACGCGUUCACUAGAUUGUGACUGUCCAGAAAAUGGAAGAAUCUGACAGAGGAGUGAACUUAAUGUGCCCCGCGUAGAGCACGUCGGAUCCCUUUUACCAGCUUCCCACCUCUUCCUGUUUGCCACAGAGGACUGUGCCUGGACCCUGGGGGCUCACACCCCCUCAGAGCAGCCUGUUGCUAAUCCUGGGUGACUGGAGGAAUGCAAGAGCUCUCCUCCUUUGUCUGAAGACAAUAACCCCUCCAGAGUGUAAUUUAUAUUGCAGAACUCUCUGCAGCUUCAGGCUGAAGACGGGGGCUGCAUGGACCUCCUACCCUUACUUGGCUUCCUCCUCCCCCUUCCUCUACUUUCUUUCCUUCCUUCCUGGUUUCUUGGGGGGAGCACUUUCUCAACCCAUCCCUUGCCCUGGACUCCUCAAUGCAGGGUCUGCUUCUGAAACGGUGGAUGGAAUCAAGUUUUCAAGGAGAGGAUAAGCAUGUUCCAUUUGCUUGAGGGAACUAAUCUCACUUAGGUACAAAGGGAAUGAAUGAAAAUCUGGAGAAGAGAUUAGGAAUCUGGCUAUUGCAUGAUGCAUUGCAGACAUUUUUUGAAGCUCAAGAAAUUCAUAAUUCGUUUUUGCGGUGUAUUGACCGAGACAGCCAAUUAUUGGUGCAGUUGCCUUGGCUCAGCUGAAACAUGAUGGAGUCUAAGUUCUCUGAAUGCAUCUUGCAGUUCAGAACUUGACUACACAAAGUGUAGGUUAGAGACGCUGCCCGUGUUCCCCACCCGUGUCUCCUGCGGACUUGGUGGUUCCGGAAACUACUUAAUGCUACAAGAACUUGUGGUUUUCUAAGAGCUUCCUCUGGCAAGCUGACAUGCUUGGCCUGAUGUCAGGUGGGCUGUAAAUGCUGGGGAAUUUAUACCCUCAGAGCAGUUCUCAUCUAAAGGGAAUUAGUGCUUGGAACAGCUCAGAUUUCUCAGUUCUUCAGUGGUCUCUGAACUGUGCGUUACACUGCCCCAGGGAGGCUGAGACCCAGUCUCCCACAAGGGCGUUCCCUUGGCUCUGGCUUGAUGCUAGUCCCCAUUCUCCAACCCCCUACUGGUGUCUCCUGGGAUCUUACUCCAAGUCUCUUUGCAAUAAACCUUUGGAUCAGGAUCUGCCUCUGAGGGAACCCAAAUGAAGACAGACAGCUUGAAGCUCACCACUUUCAUAUUCCCAAGAAUGUUCUCCACCGAGAUGCAGUUUCUUUAAAAGGCAAUUUACCUGUGCUGCUGCUUGGCACGGUCAGAGCACAGUAGUCUGCAAAAUGUUGCAGCCACCGUAACUCAUGUUGAUGAAUACGGUUAGUCAGGAGACAGAUUUUUUUCCUUUUGACUCUGGUCUGAAUAAUCAUGAGUGGUAUGGCAAGCGGAAUGUUUCAGCAGAAGAAAAUCAAGGAAACUAGGGAAAUCGCAAUCAUUCCCGAAGUGGUGGGAAGCUAUUCUGCGAGUCACUGAUUCCGCAAGUAUUUGUCAAGUCUUGUUUAUGCACAGGGCGCUGUGUGGUGCCAAGAUCGUUGUAAUUGUAAAUUUGAUUCUGGAGAAUGCAUCCCAUAGUCAUGAAAGCCAGGAGGAUAGUCGUGUUGGUUAACUAAAAAGCAAUGAAACAGAUUUACAAGCAUGCAACUUGCUCAGAUACCGUCUCUGGAAUCAGGAUCUAGGGAGGAAUUCCUUCCUGUUUUUUUGAGUGUGGAUACGCAACUGCCAAAGAAGUGUAUAUCCAGACCCCUAAGGUGGCUGGUUGGUGGGUGCUAACGUUCAUUAGAUUUUGUGAAAUGCGACAUGGUUUUUAAAAAAUAAAUCACUCUAGUUCAUAUUCGA